AAAAAUGUGAAACAAGUUGCAAUGGAUAGAUAAUAAUCAUCUUUAUUGCAUACUAUUUUUACAUUACAAGAAUUGGAUCACAAUCUGAUCACAGAAAAAUAAAAUGAAAAAUACAUCAAAAAUAGAAAAUGGAAGAUCCUAUUCUAUCCUAUCUAGUCUUUUGCUCCUUGUCUUCAUCUUGAAACCUGAAAUGCACAACAACAAAAGGAAGCAUAUUGUUAUUGUUAAAAUGUUUGGUCGGUCUAAGACCAACCAGUUAAUGUGGAAUCCAUAGGAUUAAUUUCAAAAACUUGUUUUGGAAUUAAAAUAGCCAGGGCAUGGCAAAUAAUUUUAGAAGAUCAUUUCCAAACCCAAUUGAAACCAGAACAUUAGUGACAAUAAAAAUAAGCAAGUAGACCAUCUAAAUGAUCUAGUAAAAUCUAAUUGUGAACAUUGAAGAAUUGAACCAAUAGUAGAACAGUAGGUUUAGAACAUCACAUCAUUCAUAAAUAAAUACCCAGAAUAUCAAUAUCAUCAAGGAUUAGCAAAAACCACUGAUUAGCAAAUGAAGUGCCCUGACUUGGAAACCAUUUUAAGAAUAGCAUUUAGCAAAAAUUUGAUCAUGCAAAGGAUCAUGUCCUUGCUAAUCAAAAUUAGCAAGUGAUUAACAAAUGCAACCAAUAAAAGUUUAACUUGAACACAGUAUUAACAUCAGUGCGUUGCACUGGACACAUCAGAACCAAAAUCCACAAUCAAAAGUCAGUAUACAACAAAGUCAUUAAUAAACAGAUUAGUAGAUUCAUGAAAAUCAUGUAUCUGCACUAGAAACCAAAAUAUAAGUCGGUUUGGAACAGUGCUCCAGCCCCAGCCUAUAAAUACCCCCUCCCACAACACAUUUCACUCACAAAAAUCUCAAAGCAGCUCAUAAAAACACCUUAGGGCCAGAGGCUAAAGGUUGAGCCCACAAACUCCAUAGCUUGAAAGCUUGGAGAGAGAUUAAAAGGGAAAGCUCACUUGUGAGUAGCCCACACAUUAGAACACACCAGUAGUAUAGCUAGAGGAAGAAGAAGAAGGCAAGAUCAGGGGAAGCAAGGAGGUGCUACCCAAAUCUACAUCAAGCGUUCUUUGAUAUCUUCAAAGGUUUAAAUUUUUAGCUUUUAUUUCUGCAAGAGAGGGAGUGAUUAGUAGCACACACUAUUCACUGGUUGUUGUGCAUCCUCCACAGAGGAACACCACAGCCAUGCCUAGUGAAAAGGGCACAACCAUUAAAAUUUGGUGUGUGAGCUCAAGGAAGAAGAUGAAGUGGCAAUCACACACAGUGAUCACACACCUCAUAAUCCUUCUAUACAGCCCCUAUACACAUCAAAAUGGGGAUCAUAGAAUUAGUAAGAUUGUGGUAGUGGAAGUUUAUCCACUAAGUGUGAUAGUUGCAAGCUCUAAGAGAUGCAACAUAUAAUUGUAUAUUGAUUGAUAAUGAGCAUUCAAGCUCAACUGAGUGAUGUAUAUCAAAUAAAAACACCACUGUCAAUAACAGACAGAAGUGUCAUUAUUCAGUGAAGUGUCAAAUUUGAUGAGUUAAAUUGUUGCAAGUGUCUAUUGGAGUAAUGGCAAUUGUAUGUGCAAGUGUAUAGAUAUUAACCAGUAGUUAAUAUUCAUCAUAGAUAGCAUUUAGCAGAGCCCAUAGAAGCAAUAUGAGCAACUGAAUCUCAACACUGUCAAAAGUGUUAAAAUUCAGAAGCUAAGACUGCAGAUUAAAGCAGUCAAGUCUAGGUUGAUCUAGGAUUGAGCAUAGAGCAUAUAUAGCUAGGUUAAAGUUAAGCAAGACCACCACAAGUUCAUAAGCAGAGAGAUGCAUAUCUCUGACAGAACUGUCAAAGUUCAGUCAAGUAUUGCAAGUGUGAGCAGCAGAGCAAGUAAUCAACAGUAGUAGUAGCAGUAGUAUUCUAAGUGCAAGAUUAACACCAUAGAUCGUAGCUAAACCCCCAGCAAGCCAGCAUGACUGAAGAAAUUCUUCAGAAACCCUAGAAUUUUUCCCAAAGGGGAAAGCAGUGUAAGAGAUCGUUUGAUAGCAGUCAUGGCAGAGAGAGGAGUUGGGAGAGAGAGUGAAAAGGGCGGCUGAGCCACUUACCUGGACCAGCGUGGCCUAGCCACGGUGGCCGGAGAACGACGGAGCACGGUGGUGGUCGCCAGGACAGGGAACCCCAUGCCAGGGGAUACGACCUGUUCUGAAGCGAACAACAGCCGAAGGAGAGCGAGUAGCGGC
rnacentral:lncRNA from 1 species